AUUGAACGCUGGCGGCAUGCUUUACACAUGCAAGUCGAACGGUAACAGGCCGCAAGGUGCUGACGAGUGGCGAACGGGUGAGUAAUGCAUCGGAACGUGCCCAGUCGUGGGGGAUAACGCAGCGAAAGCUGUGCUAAUACCGCAUACGAUCUAUGGAUGAAAGCGGGGGACCGUAAGGCGUCGCGCGAUGGGAGCGGCCGAUGUCAGAGUAGGUAGUUGGUGGGGUAAAGGCUCACCAAGCCAACGAUCUGUAGCUGGUCUGAGAGGACGACCAGCCACACUGGGACUGAGACACGGCCCAGACUCCUACGGGAGGCAGCAGUGGGGAAUUUUGGACAAUGGGCGCAAGCCUGAUCCAGCAAUGCCGCGUGCAGGAAGAAGGCCUUCGGGUUGUAAACUGCUUUUGUACGGAACGAAAAGGUUUGGGUUAAUACCCUGGGCCGAUGACGGUACCGUAAGAAUAAGCACCGGCUAACUACAUGCCAGCCGCCGCGGUAA
rnacentral:rRNA from 1 species